UCUUAUGGAUAAGCAAAGGAAUUGGUUUUUUGAGAUGGAAUCUACUCUUGGUGAAGAUGCUGUGAA
rnacentral:pre_miRNA from 1 species